UAGGGAAUCUUCCGCAAUGGGCGAAAGCCUGACGGAGCAACGCCGCGUGAGUGAUGAAGGUCUUCGGAUCGUAAAACUCUGUUAUUAGGGAAGAACAAAUGUGUAAGUAACUAUGCACGUCUUGACGGUACCUAAUCAGAAAGCCACGGCUAACUACGUGCCAGCAGCCGCGGUAAUACGUAGGUGGCAAGCGUUAUCCGGAAUUAUUGGGCGUAAAGCGCGCGUAGGCGGUUUUUUAAGUCUGAUGUGAAAGCCCACGGCUCAACCGUGGAGGGUCAUUGGAAACUGGAGAACUAGAGUGCAGAAGAGGAAAGUGGAAUUCCAUGUAUAGCGGUGAAAUGCGGAGAGUUAUGGAGGAACACCAGUGGCGAAGGCGACUUUCUGGUCUGUAACUGACGCUGAUGUGCGAAGGCGUGGGGAUCAAACAGG
rnacentral:rRNA from 1 species